rnacentral:lncRNA from 10 species
GACUCAUGGAGACACUUUAAACUGGAAGCAAGAGACCCCAGGGAAGAGUGUUCUUAGGCAGAGGGAACAUAACAUGCUAACGUGCUAUGAGGGGACAUUGGUGUGCAAGUGGCAAAAAGAGUCCUGUCCCAGCACUGCAAGGGGAAGAUAAAGGCUCGUCAUCUGUGCGUGCGUCCAUCUGAGUGGAACGUGUGUCCCGGGGGCUGCUGCCACCGCGCCGGUCCCUCCUGUAAUCCGAGCCCGUGUCAGAGGACGCGGCGCCUGCAAGGAAGAAGGGUUGCCGCAGGUGUGGCCAGAUCCUCUAGGCAAGAGGUGUGGAUUCAGGUCCUACUAGUCUUACUCCUGAUGAAGCUGGGCAAAUCAGUUGGCUCUGGAGUAAUUAGUAGCCCCUUCCUCACUGACCAUUGCAAGGUGAUCUUCUCAACAUAUACCUCAGUUAACAUUGUGCGGAUGGCUGCCUUCUCCUCUCCUGGAAAUAUGCAAAUUGACAACACAUUUUAUCCUUCACAGGAAACAACAGAGUGAGGACAUAACAGGACUCUUCUUCCCAGAAACUUCUUCUCAGACUUCCACUCAGAGGUCACUGGCCAGAAAUGAUGACAUAUGGAUUCCUUAAUUUAAGAGAAACAGAAAAAUAAGCAUCAUCUGCUAAAAGAGAAUGGAGUUAUACUGACUGGCUGAGGACAAUCAUGCCCGAGCCACUAGGUCUGGGCAAAUUGGGCACUUCCAAAGUGCAUCAUGAAAGUGCUCUUAAGAAAAACGUGGGGUAUGUGGAUUCUGGAUAAGCAAAGUAUCUGCCACACUGAAAUCCUUAUCUAGUUUCCUAAAAUCCUAGAUUAGAAAAUUCAAACGGCUUCACUUGUGUGAUUAUUAUCUCUGCUAUAUGCUUCAGAAGAAAAUAAAAGUAUGUUCAUAACGUUCAUUUUAAAUCU